GAUGAACGCUGGCGGCGUGCCUAAUACAUGCAAGUCGAGCGAACAGACGAGGAGCUUGCUCCUCUGACGUUAGCGGCGGACGGGUGAGUAACACGUGGAUAACCUACCUAUAAGACUGGGAUAACUUCGGGAAACCGGAGCUAAUACCGGAUAAUAUAUUGAACCGCAUGGUGCAAUAGUGAAAGACGGUUUUGCUGGCACUUAUAGAUGGAUCCGCGCCGCAUUAGCUAGUUGGGAAGGUAACGGCUUACCAAGGCAACGAUGCGUAGCCGACCUGAGAGGCUGAUCGGCCACACUGGAACUGAGACACGGUCCAGACUCCUACGGGAGGCAGCAGUAGGGAAUCUUCCGCAAUGGGCGAAAGCCUGACGGAGCAACGCCGCGUGAGUGAUGAAGGUCUUCGGAUCGUAAAACUCUGUUAUUAGGGAAGAACAAAUGUGUAAGUAACUAUGCACGUCUUGACGGUACCUAAUCAGAAAGCCACGGCUAACUACGUG
rnacentral:rRNA from 1 species